rnacentral:rRNA from 1 species
AACGAACGCUGGCGGCAGGCUUAACACAUGCAAGUCGAACGCACCUUUCGGGGUGAGUGGCAGACGGGUGAGUAACGCGUGGGAAUCUACCCUUCUCUACGGGAUAGCUCCGGGAAACUGGAAUUAAUACCGUAUACGUCCUGAGGGAGAAAGAUUUAUCGGGGAAGGAUGAGCCCGCGUUGGAUUAGCUAGUUGGUGGGGUAAAGGCCUACCAAGGCGACGAUCCAUAGCUGGUCUAAGAGGAUGAUCAGCCACAUUGGGACUGAGACACGACCCAAACUCCUACGGGAAGCAGCAGUGGGGAAUAUUGGACAAUGGGCGCAAGCCUGAUCCAGCCAUGCCGCGUGAGUGAUGAAGGCCCUAGGGUUGUAAAGCUCUUUCAGUGGGGACGAUAAUGACGGUACCCACAGAAGAAGCCCCGGCUAACUUCGUG